rnacentral:rRNA from 1 species
AUUGAACGCUGGCGGCAUGCCUUACACAUGCAAGUCGAACGGUAACAGGUUAAGCUGACGAGUGGCGAACGGGUGAGUAAUGUAUCGGAACGUGCCCAGUCGUGGGGGAUAACUACUCGAAAGAGUGGCUAAUACCGCAUACGACCUGAGGGUGAAAGCGGGGGACCGUAAGGCCUCGCGCGAUUGGAGCGGCCGAUAUCAGAUUAGCUAGUUGGUGGGGUAAAAGCCCACCAAGGCGACGAUCUGUAGCUGGUCUGAGAGGACGACCAGCCACACUGGGACUGAGACACGGCCCAGACUCCUACGGGAGGCAGCAGUGGGGAAUUUUGGACAAUGGACGCAAGUCUGAUCCAGCCAUGCCGCGUGCAGGAUGAAGGCCUUCGGGUUGUAAACUGCUUUUGUACGGAACGAAAAGACUCCUUCUAAUAAAGGGGGUCCAUGACGGUACCGUAAGAAUAAGCACCGGCUAACUACGUGCCAGCCGCCGCUGUAACAC